UGAAUGCAAGUCUUCGACAUGAUGUAAAAGCUGGCGAGUGCGCUCGUGGUGAUGUUUGCUCGUCUCUCUGGGAGCAGCAGUAACAUCAAGCAAUUUGAGGUCAGUAGCAAUGUUCUUCUGAUCUUGAUGAUGCAUCCACAUUGAUUCCCACAUCUUGGUCAUCCUGCAAAAUUAGAAGCACAGAUUAAACUCCAGAUGCACCACAGAGUGGAUUCCAGAAGCGCCAAAGACAUUUAUACGAGCUGGACCUUCAACAUCAAACAAGACAACGCAUCCAAUUCAUGUGGAAAAACCUGCUGUUUCACUAAAGAUACAGGAACAAAACCAUUCCACUAAAUGGCCUUGACCUAGCCCAUCCCCCUUUACUCAGAACUACGAUUGAUGGCUGACUCAGAGUGAACCAAGAAGAAGCCAGUGUUUCAAAAUUGCUUGCCAUUAACGAUGACAUUAUCAGAGAAGAUAUGCUCUGCUUAGUGGAACAAUCUCCUCUCUCUCUCUGUGAGUACGCACUGUUUUUUUAGCUACUGUUUAUAAUGUUUUCUUCUCUCUGUCAUGGCUCAUCAAGAGUUGCUGCUAAAUGUAUCUCAGCUAGCUAAUCAACUUUGAUUUCUCCAA